rnacentral:rRNA from 1 species
GGAAUAUUGGGCAAUGGGCGCAAGCCUGACCCAGCCAUGCCGCGUGAGUGAUGAAGGCCUUCGGGUCGUAAAGCUCUGUGGGAAGGGACGAAAAAAACGGGUCUAACACACCCGGGCUUGACGGUACCUUCUUAGCAAGCACCGGCUAACUCCGUGCCAGCAGCCGCGGUAAUACGGAGGGUGCAAACGUUGCUCGGAAUCAUUGGGCGUAAAGCGCACGUAGGCGGUCGGCUAUGUCGGAUGUGAAAGCCUCGGGCUUAACCCGAGAAGGGCAUCCGAAACUGGCCGGCUUGAGUACGGAAGAGGGUCUCGGAAUUCCCGGUGUAGAGGUGAAAUUCGUAGAUAUCGGGAGGAACACCAGUGGCGAAGGCGGAGACCUGGGCCGAUACUGACGCUGAGGUGCGAAAGCGUGGGGAGCAAAC